rnacentral:rRNA from 1 species
GAGACUCUGUGCGCGUGCAUAUCAAUAAGCGGAGGAAAAAGAAACUAACAAGGAUUCCCUUAGUAACGGCGAGUGAAGCGGGAAGAGCUCAAAUUUGAAAUCUUCAAGGUUCUACCUUGACGAAUUGUAGUUUAAAGAAGUGUUUUUUGUUAGAUGAGUAGCAAAAGUUCCUUGGAAUGGGACAUCAUAGAGGGUGAGAAUCCCGUAUUUGGUUAUUCAUUCUAGCUUUGUGAUACACUUUCAAAGAGUCGGAUUGUUUGGGAAUGCAGUCCAAAAUGGGUGGUAAAUUUCAUCUAAAGCUAAAUAUUGGCGAGAGACCGAUAGCGAACAAGUACCGUGAGGGAAAGAUGAAAAGAACUUUGAAAAGAGAGUUAAACAGUACGUGAAAUUGUCAAAAGGGAAGCGUUUGACACCAGUGUUGUUUUUCCGAAAAUCAAUUACGAAUGGCUUGAUUUUGUGUUGUAUUGACCUUAUCAGCUUUCUUCACUUUUUUCGAGUCUUUCUUAAUGCACUUUUCGGUUAACAAGUCAACAUCAAUUUCUUUUGUUGUAAAAGAGUAUUCGGAAGGUGGCUUUCUUUUCGGAGAAAGUGUUUAUAGCCCUAUACUUCUACAAUCGGAGAGAUUGAGGUCUGCAGCGUAGAUCCUUCGGGGUUAGAUACACUUUGUGCUAAGUUAGUAGCUUUUCAUAGACAACUUGUUGACUAUGUUUAGUCAUUGUAGGCUUACUCGCUGACUGCUAUUUUACCUACGCUUAGGAUGUUGACUGAUAUGUAGUCGUA